rnacentral:rRNA from 1 species
GACGAACGCUGGCGGCGUGCUUAACACAUGCAAGUCGAACGCUGAAGCUCAGCUUUUGUUGGGUGGAUGAGUGGCGAACGGGUGAGUAACACGUGAGUAACCUGCCCCCUUCUUUGGGAUAACGCCCGGAAACGGGUGCUAAUACUGGAUAUUCACUGGUCUUCGCAUGGGGGUUGGUGGAAAGGGUUUUUCUGGUGUGGGGUGGGCUCGCGGCCUAUCAGCUUGUUGGUGGGGUGAUGGCCUAACAAGGCGUUGACGGGUAGCCGGCCUGAGAGGGUGACCGGGAACAUUGGGACGGAGAUACGGCCCAGAGUAGUACGCGAGGCAGCAGUGGGGAAUAUUGCAGAAUGGGCGAAAGCCUGAUGCAGCGACGCCGCGUGAGGGAUGGAGGCCUUCGGGUUGUGAACCUCUUUCGCUCAUGGUCAAGCCGCAACAAUGGUUGUGGUGAGGGUAGUGGGUAAAGAAGCGCCGGCUAACUACGUG